rnacentral:rRNA from 1 species
CAUGGCUCAGGAUGAACGCUAGCGGCAGGCUUAACACAUGCAAGUCGAGGGGUAGAAGGAGCUUGCUCCUUUGAGACCGGCGCACGGGUGCGUAACGCGUAUGCAAUCUACCUUGUACAGGGGGAUAGCCCAGAGAAAUUUGGAUUAAUACCCCAUAGUGUAAUGAAUAGGCAUCUAUUUAUUACUAAAGUUCCAACGGUACAAGAUGAGCAUGCGUCCCAUUAGCUAGUUGGUGUGGUAACGGCACACCAAGGCAACGAUGGGUAGGGGUCCUGAGAGGGAGAUCCCCCACACUGGUACUGAGACACGGACCAGACUCCUACGGGAGGCAGCAGUGAGGAAUAUUGGUCAAUGGGCGCAAGCCUGAACCAGCCAUGCCGCGUGCAGGAUGACGGUCCUAUGGAUUGUAAACUGCUUUUGGAAAGGAAGAAACACUCCCUUGUGAGGGA